GGGCUCGGCACAGAGUCACUAGAGGUCGCUAGAGAAGCUUGGCCUGACGUACCUGGGAGAAUCGUUGCGCAGCACCAGAGAGACAAGGUGGUGGCAAAGAUUCCUGUCAUGAUGCUGGGUACAUCAGCGUGAUCAAACGCUUUCUUAAAUCUGCGGUGACAUCAGUGUGUUUGACUUGGCGUGCCUCUCUCAUCUCAAUUCAUCACCUCCCCAAGGACAUCUCCUCCCGCUGCCAAGACCUGUCAGGCAGGAGCAUCUCAGAGUAAAGGGGUGAGAGGACACCAAUUAGAAAGCCAUCCUCGGCCAAGAGAGCCAGCGGCACAGCUUGCCACAGGAAGUGGGAUGUCUGACUUCCUGCAUGGGGUCACAGCUGUUUGCAGGGAGGUUACCGCUACCAGCCAAUACGCGGUACCAUUUAGCGUCUGACGAGGCAGGCCUCAUUUGAAUAGCAAAGAACCAUCUCAAUGUCACCAAUAAAUUUACAUGAUUUCUUCCCUGCUACAGCUGGGAUCAGAGUGGGGACUUUGCUGGAAUUAGGGGAGCGUGACAAUGUCAAAAGAGCAGGACCAGCUCCUUUCAA